GACGAACGCUGGCGGCGUGCUUAACACGUGCAAGUCGAACGGAAAGGCCCUGCUUUUGUGGGGUGCUCGAGUGGCGAACGGGUGAGUAACACGUGAGUAACCUGCCCUUGACUUUGGGAUAACUUCAGGAAACUGGGGCUAAUACCGGAUAGGAGCUCCUGCUGCAUGGUGGGGGUUGGAAAGUUUCGGCGGUUGGGGAUGGACUCGCGGCUUAUCAGCUUGUUGGUGGGGUAGUGGCUUACCAAGGCUUUGACGGGUAGCCGGCCUGAGAGGGUGACCGGCCACAUUGGGACUGAGAUACGGCCCAGACUCCUACGGGAGGCAGCAGUGGGGAAUAUUGCACAAUGGGCGGAAGCCUGAUGCAGCAACGCCGCGUGCGGGAUGAAGGCCUUCGGGUUGUAAACCGCUUUCGCCUGUGACGAAGCGUGAGUGACGGUAAUGGGUAAAGAAGCACCGGCUAACUACGUG
rnacentral:rRNA from 1 species